CUCUGUACCCCCUCAAACAGCCAAACCCCGGAAGGUCCAAUGGCCCCUCCCAUUACCGUAUUUACUCUAGUACUGAUACCAUCAUGACCGUACCUUAUAAAUUACUACAGAGAGGACCUGACUUCCAGCCCCUGCUGGAUCGUUAAGCCCCAACCGUAUGUUGAGCUUUGCGAACCAGCUAAACCUUUGCUGUAUUGACCUAGUCCUGUUUUGCCUGUCUGCUGUGUUUUCCGAUUACCUACCUGUAACCCUGCUUUUUCCCCUGCCUAGACAAACCUGACAACUGCACGCACCUGUUUGUCACCCUGGACCUCAGAGCCGCCCUGCACCUAGAUUCCACGCCAACCCACAGCCACUCGGCCCACCCCCCUGACACUGUUGUUAUACCUACUGCCAUGAUGAAUGAAGCCCAGUCAAUGUCAUUGUCAUUUAUGCUUGAAACCAUCUCAUAUAUAAUAAAAUAGAAAUGAAUUAC